rnacentral:misc_RNA from 1 species
AAAACAUUUAAUUUGUUUCUUAACAUAAUUGGAUCCUCAGAUUACUUCUCAUAAUCUACUUUUUUCACAAGUAAAAUAAUCUCAAAUGUAUAAACACUGGAUAACAAAGCCAAAACAUAAGCUCCAUCACCAAUAGUCAAGACACACAACUUCAAACUAAAUAUCUUAUACUAAUAAUUAGAAGUUAAACAGAAAGCACAAAAAAAAUAGGGAGAGCUUCUCUAAGCUUUUAUCUCAACUUGAGGGCUUGCUGGAGUUGCUGCUUGAGAUUCACUAUGUUCAUGCUCGAUUUCUUCUUCACUGUCGCUUUCAUCUUCUUCUUCAGGCUCAUCAGCAUCAAAAUCCCCUAGACCACCACCCAUGUUGAGUUGUGAAAAGUCAAUGUCACCCAUAUCCAUAUCUGCUCCAGCUGGUUCACCAUCCUGUUCAUCUUCAUCGACCCAUUUGUCCCAGUCAGCUUUCAAAAACGUUGGUGAUUUACCUUCUUGCUUAAUCAGUCUGCUCCACCAGUUGUCUUCUGCCUUCUUUACAAGAUAGCAGAUAUUUCUAGAUGUAAUACUAGAUUGGCUCUCAUCAACAUCAAUUUUAUCAAAGAGAUCAAGAACGACUUCGUAUGGAACAUUAUCAGCUCCAGCAGUUGCAGAAAAAGAGAAUUUUCCUUCUGGUUCUAGUUUCUGCUUUACAUUCUUGGCAUCAGGUAACUCAACUGUGAUAAACACCUUGUCAGACCUCUGGGCCCACUUGAUAGAAGGAUGUCGGCUCAUGAUUGUUGGUAGGGAGGAAAAUUGAGAGAGCAGAGGUUUGUAU